rnacentral:rRNA from 1 species
UACGUAGGGGGCUAGCGUUGUCCGGAAUCAUUGGGCGUAAAGCGCGUGUAGGCGGUCCGGUAAGUCCGCUGUGAAAGUCGGGGGCUCAACCCUCGGAUGCCGGUGGAUACUGUCGGGCUUGAGUACGGAAGAGGCGAGUGGAAUUCCUGGUGUAGCGGUGAAAUGCGCAGAUAUCAGGAGGAACGCCGAUUGCGAAGGCAGAUAACUACCAAUAUAUUGACGCUGAGGCACGAAAGUGUGGGGAGCGAACAGG